CAGCAGCUCUGCGUUAGCGACUCGCCGUCUGACCCGGUUCCCGCUCCGCUCUGAUUGGCUGGCCUGUCGCUUCCAGUCCCAGAUGGACGCUCUGAUUGGUCGCCUCCUGCUGACUAAACAAACGGCCUCAUCAAUGAUUAACGUGCCUGUCAGACACGACUCAGGGCCAAAUUAAUCAUUGAUGCCUGACCUGAAACCACAAAGGAAAAAUGCAGCGUCGCCAUGGCAACAAGACAGUGUUUCCUGCUUUUAUUCAACUCCUGAACUCUUCGUGACAAAAAUGUUUCGGUUUGUGCAAAAACCUUUUUUAAUCACCAAAUGAUCUGAAAAGUUUCAGAAUCUCAUCAGUUCACAGAAAAAAAAUAAUUUGUUACACAAAACAGGAAAAUAAACAUGGAAGAGGAAGUGACCAUUUUUACAACAGGAAGUGGAACAAAUGGAAAUUAAUCUGCUUGCUGUUAUUUUGUGAAUCUUAAAAAAUGUGAUAAACAUUUUUUUGUCAUCUAAACCAAGAAAUUAACUUAACACUGAAGUCGAUCCUGCUUUAGACCUUUGUUUUCCUUCCACUCAACUUUCCAGAAAAAGCACAGAGGAAGCUCAGCCUGACAGCUGCUGACACAAUGAGCUUCAGGUUUUUAUCUCACCUUUCGUUCAGAAGAUGAAAAUUAAACCAGGAUCUCCAUAAAACCCGUCAGCAGAACGAAGUUCUGAGAUGUUCUGGUAGACCUGGUGGACCGGAACCAGAAUCAGCAGGCGACAUGGCGACCCAGAUCAUCUCCGGUCGUUUCCACUCUUCCUCCAUCAACCUCCAGACAAAAUGAAAACUUGACUUUGAUCCUAACCCAGCAGCUGUCCGGUUCUGGUUCUGUUCAGUCCAGGUGAGACAGUUCUGAUGUUUAAAACAAGCAGUGGGAUAUUUCCUCACCUUUUCUCCUUCCACUAAACUUUCUUCACGUUUCGAGCGUUUUGAUUGAUAUUUUUCCUCAGUCUCUCUCUUGUUGAAUUGUGACCUCUGACCUUAACGGAGAUGGGUCGGGAAGAUGAAUGGUUUAAUAUGGAAACCCAUCUAUGCCAAGAAUUAAAAAAUAAAAUCCCAACAGAAAAACCUGCCUACAAGUUCUCAUGUAGUGAUUACCAAAGUAAAAGUUGUAAUUACGAGUUUUAUGUCAUAAUUAUGAAAUAUAAUUGGAGUUUUAGGUCUUAAUUUAAGGCUUUAGGAAUAAAUAAGAAAAUAAAAGCCGUAAAAGUUUUAAAAUUUUCUCCUGAAUCCCAGAAGUUUAGAAACGGAGCGAUCCGUUUCCUCCUCAGGUCUUCCAGCCUACUUCGUGUUGUCAGACAGGUUCCAGUAAUCCUGCAGGUGUAAAUACUUUAACUAGACCAUCUCCCUGAUCAUCCUCUGUUUUUCAGGUGCAGAGUAGUUUGUUUCUAAAUGUUUCUGACGGAUAGGUUACCUGUACAGGUGAGACUCACUCAGACUCUCUGGUUCUUUAUUGUGGUUUUUGGCUGCUAAACAUUUCAUCAUUACAAAUAUUCUUUAACUGAUUCUGGAAGAAGUAAAAGCAGUAUUGUCCAGGUGUGACUCCGCCCCCAAUACCUGUCCGAAGCCAGAGGGCGGAGUCAGAUUAAAGGUGGUGAGGGGGGGAAGAGUAAAGAUCAUCAUUUACAAAUCAAAAUUAUUUUUCUCCUACAACAACGACGAUGAUGAUGAUGAUGUGCAAGCUUAACAAAACUUUAAAAUAAUUAAUACAGUGUUUUUCUUUUUUUCCUCAGAGUGAGACCUCCCGUCCGUCUGAGCGGCUAACGCAUGGAAAGUGUUUUUAAUACAGAAGAGGAAGAACAAGAAGUGACUGGUCCCAGGGCCGUCGAACCGGGGCAGGGGGCGGGGCUACCCAGCAGGUAAAAUCCAUCCAGGUAAAACCAGGGAAGGGGCGGGGCUACCCAGCAGGUAAAAUCCAUCCAGGUAAAACCGGGGAAGGGGCGGGGCUACCCAGCAGGUAAAAUCCAUCCAGGUAAAACCAGGGAAGGGGCGGGGCUACCCAGCAGGUAAAAUCCAUCCAGGUAAAACCGGGGAAGGGGCGGGGCUACCCAGCAGG